UGUUAAACAGCUGGUCAAACAGUCGGCUGUUUGAUCGACUGUUUGGCUGGCUGUUUGACCGGCUGUUUAACA
rnacentral:miRNA from 1 species